AGCUAUCCAUCACCCUGGAAGAACACCAAGCUGUGAGAAGAGGCCACAUAGAUGAGAGUUUAUGCCAACGCACUAUGGUCCACAAUCCCCGCUGAUUUUCCGCCCAAUGCUGUACCAACUGCCAGCCCUGUGACUGAGCCAUCUUGGACACUCCAAGAUAAUGCUGCAGUUAAUCAUAAGGUGGCUUUCUGUUGUAUUUCACAAUCUAUUUACAAGACUUGCUUAAAGCCCUUGUAUUCCUGAGGGACAGGAAAUUUGGUCUCUUAAUGAUUGUAAUCCUGAAAACCU
rnacentral:lncRNA from 1 species